UCGAGAAUCUUCGGCAAUGGGGGAAACCCUGACCGAGCGACGCCGCGUGCGAGAUGAAGGCCUUCGGGUUGUAAAUCGCUGUCAGAGGGGAGGAAAUGCCGGUGGGUUCUCCCACCGGUUUGACCUAUCCUCAGAGGAAGGACGGGCUAAGUUCGUGCCAGCAGCCGCGGUAAGACGAACCGUCCAAACGUUAUUCGGAAUCACUGGGCUUAAAGGGUGCGUAGGCGGUCCGGCAAGUUGGGUGUGAAAGCCCUCGGCUCAACCGAGGAACUGCGCCCAAAACUGCCGGGCUUGAGGGAGACAUAGGUGAGCGGAACUUAGGGUGGAGCGGUGAAAUGCGUUGAGAUCCUAAGGAACACCAGUAGCGAAAGCGGCUCACUGGGUCUCUUCUGACGCUGAGUGCACGAAAGCCAGGGGAGCGAAGAG
rnacentral:rRNA from 1 species